GGUUAUAUAUUCAAGUAUGAUAUUAAAUUGCAAAUUUAAAGGUAAGUUUAUUUUUGUAGCCU
rnacentral:tRNA from 1 species